rnacentral:rRNA from 1 species
CAUGUCCUUUUGAUUUUAAUUUAAGGUCUGAUCUGCUCAAUGAAUUUUAAAUAGCCGCAGUAUUUUGACUGUGCAAAGGUAGCAUAAUAAUUAGUUUCUUAAUUAGGAACUGGAAUGAAUGAUUAGACAAGAUAAUUACUGUCUCUUUUUUAAAUUUAUUGAAUUUUAUUUUUAAGUGAAAAAGCUUAAAUUUUUAUAAAAGACGAGAAGACCCUAUAGAGUUUAAUAUUUAUUACAAAUAAAUAAUUAGAAAAAUAUUUUUGUGAUAUUUAUUUAAUUGGGGUGAUUGAAAGAUUAAUAAAAUUCUUUUAUUAAAAUAAUUGUUAGUUUACAAAUUUAAUAUCUAUUAUUAAUAAAUAUAAAAUAAAUUACCUUAGGGAUAACAGCGUAAUUUUUCUUUAAAGUUCUUAUUGUAAGGAAAGUUUGCGACCUCGAUGUUGGAUUAAAAUUAAUUUUUGGUGCAAUAACUUAAAAAUUAGGUCUGUUCGACCUUUAAAAUUUUACAUGAUCUGAGUUUAGACCGGCGUGAGCCAGGUUGGAUUCUAUCUUUAGAAAAUUAAACAUAUUUUAGUACGAAAGGACCAAAUAUGUGUUAAAUUAAUUG